rnacentral:rRNA from 1 species
UACGGGGGGGGCGAGCGUUGUUCGGAAUUACUGGGCGGAAAGGGUUUGUAGGUGGCCUGCUAAGUCAGACGUGAAAUCCCUCAGCUUAACUGGGGAACUGCGUCCGAUACUGGCGGGCUUGAGGACAGGAGAGGAACGCGGAAUUCCAGGUGUAGCGGUGAAAUGCGUAGAUAUCUGGAGGAACACCGGUGGCGAAGGCGGCGUUCUGGACUGUUUCUGACACUGAAAAACGAAAGCCAGGGGAGCAAACGGG